ensembl:lncRNA
AGAACAAGAUGCUAAAUUUAGUGACUGAAUUAUUCAUCAUUUGAUAUUCUCUUGAUCUUAAUCUUUGACUCUCUAUGCCAGGCAGCAGUGCAUACUCUGAAGACAAACAUUUCUCGUGGCUGUUAUCCACCACACACCAACAGCAGGAGAACACUGUCUGUGGGAUGAGACCCAUCUGUGUGGACAAGGGAACGGAGUUCAUUUCUCCCUCUGCACACAUUGGAUUAAUGCUGCAGUGUAACCCCACAGCUGCUGCCUGCAGGGUACUUGACUUCAGGCUGGGCUCAGGUCUACACCCAGCAUGUGCAGCACCUCCCAGCUGCUCUCAGCAUGGCUCUCAUUGCCUCCUGCAGCUGUGCUGGGCUCCACGUGGUGCUGCCAACAGCAGGCCCCCUCUGGCUUCUGGCAGUGCAGUGCUGUGCACAGCGCCGUGGGUCACCUUCUCACACAGGGACCGGGCUGUGGCUUUCCCAUCCAUUUCCAGGUCGGAGAAGUUUAUUGCUGACAAGCUGGCUACCUGCACGUGGGGAGGGUUCAUUUUAUGCAACACGGAGAGAGAGGAGCACACACCCAGAACAUGAGCUCCCAAGCAUCAGACAACCCCGCCUCACCUGGCUCAGCUCACCUCCUGCCCGGAUGCAGCCCCAGGAUCUGUCUCCUCCUCCCUGUCUGUCUCUGCUGUUAACCCACAGUGACCUCCGUUGGGUUUUGUGUGUUUGCUUAUUUUUGUGCUAGAGGCUUUAGAAGAAGUUUGAGGAACAUCCACACACUCCAGUUACUCUAUUAUCUAAUGAUUUAGGAUGUGGUACAACUUAUCUGGCAAUAUGGAAAUCCUGUCGCGUUUGCGAAAUUACAUCUUUAGUUGUGUGAGUCAACAGAUUUAAUUUCUUGGGCAAUGAAUGGAAUGAUUUCUGACUCAUCCCUUCUUGCCUUAGAAGGUGCGUGGGCACUGCAGGGGUGGCAGGAGGGGCUGGAGGAAUUUCCUGUGGCUCAGGAACACAUCCACCCUUUGGGACAGCGUGCCGUGCGGUGGGCUCACGUGUGCUCUGCUCGUGCUUCGCAGUGGAACGUGCUGCAUGCGGUUCUGCACACAGAAAGGAGAGAAAUGUGGCAGACAAGUGGCAUUUUUAAAUCCUACCACCAUAUCCUGAGCUGUUCUUUCUUUUCCUGUCUUUUGGUCUGCUUCCCCCCCCCCCCCCCCCCCCCUUUAUUUCCUACCUGCCUGAGUGCAGGGCUGGUCUGGGUGCAGCCACUCGCAAUGAGAGAGUGAGGCUGGCACCGACAUUACAGCCUAACCAGUACAAGAGCCAGUGCUCAAUGCAUGCAUGUUAUCUCUCCAAUAUGUGAUCCCUUUAAGAUAGGAGAUGAUUGUGGAUAGAACCAGACAAAAAAUGCCUCCGUGGACACGUGAACAGAGUUUGAACAGAAAAUUCUGAUCCUGAGGCGUAUCUGGCCUCCAUCUGCUCCCAGCGAAGAGCCGUCACCUUGCAGGGGCUGACCCCAGUCAGAAACUUCCCAUCUCACAGUUCAUUCAGCUGAUAAGACUGCAAUGGCAUUACAAACACAUUUAUCAUCUCAUAUUCUCUCUCCUACCUGCACAGAUAAGGCAACGCACCCGGGAGUUAUUUACGGUCAGUGUGACCAUUCUCUGCAUGUGUGCGCUUAACGUAUAGUUUCCGUAAUAAGACUAUAAAUCGUUUCAAUUAUUCAUCUUUGCUAUAUUUUCAGCAGCAACAUUUUUUUGGUUAUUCAACGUAUUCAUCUCUGCUACAUUUUCAACAGUGACAUUUUUUAAUAUCAGGACUUCUUCCCCUACAGAGGCAGCCAUGGGUCUCUGUUGGCCGAGAUGAGAUUUUUUGGGAAGCAGUGAGAACAGCUCUCUGCAGUUACUCGACGCAGAGAUCUUUAUGCAAGGAGCUCCCCAAAGCAGAUAAUGAAGAAAUAUGUGCCUGCUUAUGUAUGCGGCUACACCAGCACUGAUGACUCACCCUUUGAUCGAGAGUCAUUUGAAGUAAGGAGCCGCCUUUAAAUGAAGCAAAGUAUCAAUGUAAAUUAAAAUAGGAAAAGAAGCAUGACAUGUCGGUCCCAGACCUACCAUUGACUCCACUAAGAACAAGAUCAGACUCAUUAUGUACCCAAUUAACCAGGCCUGGCAGCAGACACCAAGUGGGCGUGGGACGGGCUCAGCCCAGGCUGGCUGCCACUGUCCCCAUGGCGGGAUUGUUGGGACUGGGGGAGCACAGCCUUUGGGCACAGGGUUAACUCAGCUGUAGUUCAUGCCAACGUAAUGCCCUACAGUGAGUGCUGUGAUGGAGCUCUUCACAGCAAUGGAAACAGAGCAAAGGAAAAGGCAAAACUAAGGCAAGCUGGGGGUAUGGAGGGGCUGAAGGUUAUUUGGGCAAGAAGGAUCAAAAGGAAGAAAAAGAUGGGUGCACAGCCAGACCAACACCCUAUUUCAGGUUUUUGCUAUUAUUUUCCUGAAUGCUUGCUCUUUCUCCUAUGAGAAGCUCCUCUUUGCUUUACACACCCUCUGCCCAUGUUAGUCUGUCUUGACUGAGACUUUGCUGAUGAAAUACAUUUCCAAGAAACAACAAUUACAGAGCUGUUCCAUACGGAUCAUGUCCAGCACAGCAAAUCCAAGCAUCAGAGGGUUUAUGUGGCCAGCACUCCUAUGGUGGAUUUGCUUUUUUGAUUUCCAAAUAGCAGCACAGAAGCGCAACAGUGGUCUCAGACAGUCACUUCCAAGGUUAAAUUUAGCAGUAAAAUGUUGAUGAAGUUAUUUCUUAGAGAAGAAUCGCACCAAACUCUUCCACAAUCCAGCAGACGGAUGGGAAGCAGCUCCUUGACAGCAGUGGUGCUCCAAACCUGGGCUGCAGCGCCACGAGCCGAUGCCAGCACCGGGGCUGGAGGAGUGCCUGCAAUCAUCUUCACUUUUCUGCUCCAUUUUAUCAUUCCUAAUGAGCUCUGAAAGCUCGGGGAGAACAGAGUUAUGUAACUGCAGAGGCAGUUUAUAAGCAAACGCAUUUGAAACUCCUGGGGGGAAAAGGGAGCACACUGUGUGCUGGCCCGAUCUCGAGCUUUCCGAAGUAAUUCUGUGUUUUUCCUCUGACUUUAAUUAGCUCUGAAUCAAAAAAGGAACACUCCAGAAUAAGCCUCAGUAUAAAGGGAUUUAAUUUAUUCGUACAAAUCUGAGUGCUAAAUGCCCCAUCCAUGAUGUGGGGUGCACUGAGGUGUGCAGCUGAGCACACCCGCAUGUCCGGCAGGGGAGGCAGCUGAGAUGCUGCUCCUAAUGCAUGAUACACAUUGAGGAAAUCCUAAAAAAAUACCUGCUGAGGAAACAGUGUUGUGGUGUCUGGGAAUGCUGAUGCCAACAGAUGCUCGAGCAGGAAGAGUGCAGUAUGCAAAUAGAAGAAUUCACCUGAUGAGAAAAGAUGGAAAGUAUUUCUUAGUAUAGAAACUCAAGGAGGUAUACCCAAAUGUCAGUUCUAAAUCAGAAGCACUGCAAGUAUUCAGGAACGUCAAACAAAAUGAAAGGUGAAAAAAAGAAUUUAUGAACUCUGCAGCGCCAAUGAGUAGCACCGGGUACAUACGCUCUGCUGAGACACUCGAGAGCUGCAAGGACAAGUUCGGGCUGAGUCUGUGGAGGUUUUGUUUUGAAUUUAAUCUGGAUAAUUAUUUCAAUAAUUAAAAAUGUUCUGCUAAGGCAGGUUGUAAUUAACUAAUUAUUUGCUCUGUUUAUGUUUCCUGCUUACUUAUACAUUUUUAUUAUUUUGCUAAAUUUGAAGAGAAGCCUUUCAGAAGUGCCGGCGUUCCCACUUCUGGCCCUGCUCUUCCAUGCAGCUUCUCUCCCUCCUUCCCCUCUCUCUUCCAUACAGAAAGCUGGGCACCACCAUACUGAAGGAGAGGAGCAGAGGAGUGAUGGUUGCAGGGCUCUGUUCUCAUCUGCCUUCCUGCUGAUGCUCUUCUGCAGCACCUGUCACUACCGUGUCUGCAUGGGAGGAAGUGUGUCACAUUGAGCAGGUUCCUUUCCAGCACAGAUCUUGGAAAGAGUGGGAAGAGAGAACACAGAAAGUUGGAAACCUCUCUGCAGCAUUUCUGUCAUGUUAUGUGGGGAGAAACAAAAAUGGGCACAGCAAGAAGGAAGAUCUGGAUGGUGUUCAUCAGCUUUGGGCAGCAUCAAACCUUUCGAUGAGCACAGGUCUUCAAAUGACGUCGAGUAAGAAACAAGCAUUAGUCCAUAUAAACAAAUCAAUGUCACAAAAGUCUUAAUGAAGAAACGAGGGUGCAAGAAAAGUAGAAGGAGGUGGGACUGGCUGAGGGUGCUGAUGGUGAAUGUGAACGUAGCGGGAGGAAGGCAGCACUCAAUGGCAGCAGUGUUUGUGGUGCUGGGGACAAUGAAUCAUGGUGGGACAAUGAAGAAUCUUCCAAUCAGAGCCGCAAUGCAGUCUGAACCCACUGGGGCAGGGGAGCUGCAGGGAAAACUUGGGCUUUGUGGGGGCAAAUUGUUCCCUUGUGUUGAACCUGUAAUUCUGACAAGAAAACACAUAUGCUGUAAUACCAAAGGAAACUCAUAUCAAAGAAUAAUUAUUUUACUUUUUCUUAAAUGGUUGGGUUGCAAAUAGGCCCAGGCCUAUUAUUCCUGCUGAAGAGGUUGGAAAAAUUAACGCCUUAAAGCCAACUUUACCUUCAGUGCAUAAUAUCCAAAAGCAAUAUGUAAAUGAGUAUGUAAAUUGCUUAAG